rnacentral:lncRNA from 1 species
CUUUGCCGCUGUGCAAAAGCAGCAGUAGACAAUACCUACACUAAUGGUUUGGUUGUGUUCCAGUAAAACUACUGAAACAGGCAGUAAGCCAGGUUUAGCCUAAAGCCUGUAGUUGCCAACCCUGAACUGGAAUAUUUCUCAUCCCUGAAGUGAUGCAAACUUGAGAGGUAAGUUUUUGCAGUCUUUAGUUAAUAAAUGAUUUUAUUAUUUUAUUUAAUUUUAUUUAUUUUACUUAAUUCUAUGUGAGGUAAUACAUUCGUGGUGAAGACUGACUCCCAUCCUGUCUCCUGACUGCCAAAUCCUUCUUUGUUUUCAUCUUUACUGGUAAUCAUUUUCAUUUCCCCCCUUUCUAUCCUUAAAACAUAAUGAACCUAUUUUCUUAUUUUUCAAUUCUUCUUCCAUGCUCUAUAAACUUCUCUCCAUCUUGAUUUUUUUGUUUCCCUAAACAUUUGUCUUUAAGAUCUUUCCACAUCAACUCAUGGAGAACUUUUUCAUUCCUUUUUAUAACUUCAUAGUAUUGCAGAGGAUAGACCACAAUUAAUUCAACCACCCACUGAUAAAUGCUAGGCUGUUUUCAACUUUAUGCUAUUACAAAUAAGGCUAUGAUGAAUACACGGAAACAGAGUGAUUUUGCCCAACUACAAGUGUGCUGGUUGGAGAAAUUACCAUAAGUGAUAUUUGGUAUAAGGCUAUCGGUUUGUAAUUUCAACAGGGAAAUUCUCUACCAUGAGAUUAUAACACCUGCAUCUCUACAGGAUGUGAGGAGACUGUUUCCCAGGGCUCACCAAGGGAGUGUGUUAAACUGUUGACUUUUUCCAACAAGGGAGGUGCACAAUGGCAGUUUUGAUUUGCAUUUCCUUUAUGAGUGAGGCUGAGGGUACUUAUUUAACAUUGAAGGCAGUUUUUCACUCCUCAGUGAAGCAGAAUUAUCAUCACCAAUUGUACCUUCUUAAGCAUAAUUACUGGAAUAGUAUGCUUCCAUGUUGUGGAAACCAUUAAUAUUUGUAGUUUUGUUUGCUGGUUGCUCAGAAAAUGAGGUCAUCUAUAUUAAAUUCAUGCAAAUCUGUUCUUAAAAAAAACCCAAAAAACCACACAACUCUCUCCUGUUCAAUUUAGCAUAUCCCUUAGAUUAUCUACUCUAGAUCAUGUACUUCAUGAAAGUACCUUUGAAGUAAUGAAGGGAUUCUUUUUUAUGGUGCAUUAAGAAAUUCAAAUAAAAAUUUCCUGAAAAUAAAGUAAUUGUUAGAGAAUACCUCCCUUGACAGACACAUGAUUGUUUCAUUUUGCUGUAAUGUUAUGAAGUUUUGUGCCUUCCUGAUGUGGAGCUAAACUGUCUUAUCCUGAGUGUUUUACGGGAAGCAGAUGAAUAAAUAGGUUACUUUUGUAAAUAAUGUUUUCUUUCCAUGCAUUUCAACUAUAAUUAUAAUGCUUCAGAUGCAGCACCAUCACCUAUCCUUGUACAUAUUUUUGUUCUUCAUGUUGAUCCAAGCAAUCCUAGAAUCAGUAACUGCAUUAUAUUUGUAAGAAAAUUGAUGAAAUUAUAUUCUAAUGUGGGCGAAUCAUAAAAUGAGUCAGAGUGAAGUUCAGAGCGGAAGUUUGUAGAAUAUGAUUUUCCCCCACAGGUGUCAAGAAAACAGGAAAACUGAAUUAAGGACUCUCUGGCUUAACAAGAAAAUUUAAUAGAUAUUGUGCUUUGGGAUUAUAUGCUUAAAAACAUCUCCCUACUUCCUUUUUAUUAUAAAUUGUUGAUAUCUCAAAUGUUUAAUUUUAAAUUGAGGUACAAUAAAUAUUAUACUGAAGAAAUGUAUUCCACUUAAUAAUUAUACAGAACAAAUUAAUUUACUAAAGAAUUAGAAGGGAUUUUGUUUGUUAUUAAAUUAGUGACACAAUGAAAAAUGGAGGCUACAUUAACUAGAAGUUAUAAAAUAGAAAACCACAUUAUAAUUUGGAUAAUAAAAACAAAAGGAACUGAAGGGACAUAUUAAUUAUAAAAAAUUCUAAACAUCUAAGGCAUCAAGGCGUCUAAAUGCAUUUAUGAUUGGGACGUUAAUUCCAAUUCUGAUUGUGUGGGAUUCUUCCGAUGUUUCUGUUUUCAAAGAAGAGUUGUAUCUGGGUAAGAGGGUAAUGGAGUUUAUUGAAAGGAUGCACAGAGGAGUAGAGAGACAGGAAGAUAACUCUGCAGUUGCACAGCCAGAUCUUGUAGAAAACAGGAAGUUAUUUUAGGACACAGCAGCUCUGGUGGCUCAACACAACUCCAGUAGGCCCACAGCAUGACCUGUCAUCCUGCCUGCACAGGGUAGCUCCCCGUACCAGGCCCAGUCCAGAUGCUGACACUACUGUUCUGUGCUGGCGCCUGUGAUGAUCACCUCUUUUCUCUCCUGCCUUCGCCUUACCUCAUUCCUUCUUCUCCUAGGCUAUUUACUCAUGCCUCUUCAUGGCUGUGACAGCUCUGUGGCUUCUGAUUACUGCCUGCCUUCUCUUGAAUAUCUAUGUCUCAUGAAAACUUUGUACAUCUGUCUUAGAUUAGUUUUCCCGGGGGGGGGGGGCGAAUCUCAAGUUGAGAUUUUUGAGGAUUUAUUAAGAUGAUUUUUUAAGAAAGUACCCUCAGAAAAAAAAUCAGAAAGGGAGUGAGAAGGUCAUGGAAGGUAAGCAGCCAAGCAAAGAAGCAAUCUCAGGAAAAGACCAGGGAGGAUCAUUUAGCCUAAUCUCCAUGAGGGAGUGUCGCAGUGUAAAUUCUGCUGCAGGUGUGGAAAUUGGAGGCUAGCUGCUGAGAGAUUCUUACUCCUGUACAGGUCUGUCACUGAUUAGUGGUUGGGAAUGCAUGAGCUUUUAGGUACUACCAGCUCUCUGGUUAUUGGAAGGAAAAGCCCUCAGGGAAGGGUACAAAUGAUAAAGAGGGAUCUGAGGACCUUCAUGUGGGUAGUACACUACUUCUGCACUCUUCUCAGAUUCAAAUAGGGCUCAGAUUGGUGAUCCCAAAGAGAGGAUCUAAUUGGAAGUUACCCUUCACUAUAAGAUGCUUAUAUAAGUUACCCUCCACUAUAAGAUGCUACUAGUGGGCUAUUGUAAAAGGCCACAUUCUCUAUAGGCUACUGACACCUUGCCCUUUAGACCAGGUAUGGUCCUUUGGCCCAGUCAACUGAGGUUAGGGUAGUGAUGAUGCAUGGUCAUAUGUAUAAUAAAUGUCCAGGAGGGGCUGUGGCUCUGUUUUCAUGCUGAAGCUUAGAAUAACAGAGUAACCAGCCUGUACCUUGCAUAGUCUGUUCCAGUACAGGCAAUUUGAUUUUGUUUUUGUUUGUUUGCACCUAGAUGCUUGAUUACUUUUGAUUUUUGUUGUUGCUGUUGAUGUUACUUGUCUUGAAAGUAGUCACCAUCUCUUGAUCUCUCAGAUUUGGAUUUUUGCAUGCAUGAGUGUUCUAAAUAGUAAUUAGUGUUCACAUAUGAAAAUGAAAUGAAUGUUGGUAUUUUCUUGGUUUUUAUUUUUUUACAAUACUUCUCAAAAUAAGACCACAAUCAUAACAACAUCAUUACGUCUCAGGUGCUUAUUAAAAAUACUAGCCACUUACCUAGUAUAUCUGGAGUGUGUCCUACUAGCUUGUAUUUUCAAUAAGUAUUCCAGGUAAUUUUUUUCAAGCUCAUGUCAAAGUUUGAGAACCACCACUUUAAAAAUUAAUAUUAUCCUCUUCACUUUACUGUUAAGGAAAUUGAAGCUUUAAAAAUCUAGGAAACUCACUUGAGGUUUCAUAACAGCGAAGGCUUCUCAAAAGUUCUCUUCUAUAAAAGGAAGUUUCUGUUGAUGCUAUGUUUGCAAUGUGAAAGUUCAGUUGUUUUCAAAAAUGUUUGCUAUCAACUUGAAGCAAAUUUCCAGGUGUUUAUGACUACGUAUUGUCUCUGUCUACAGCAUUUCACUUAAGCUAACUGCAGCCUCCCAGUUGUGUGACUGCAAAAUUAUAAUUUGAGUACUUCUACAUCCCUACUGGAAAAAAAGACUUGAGUGCAGAGCAGCAGCCCAGUAAAUCUGCGAAGCUAAAGGUGAAAGUGUGGGGAGAAGGGAGAGACAGAGCAGGUAGCUCAGCAGUUUUGUUCCAGAUACAGUGAUAGUGCAUGUUUGGUGAAAUGCUGAGAAGAUUCAACAUUUCAUACUUGUUCCAUGAGGUAGGGCAAGGAUUGUUGUCCUUACUGUAGGUUAAUCUAAGCAUAUACUUGAAUCUGGAUGCUGCUUUUAUCCUAAGUGAAAAUCAGGAAUUGCAUGGGGCUGAAGUUCUGCCAUAUGCAACAUAUAGUGCAGAUUUUCAUUUCCAUGCUUGGGUGUGUGGAGAAAUGGUCACCUCUCUCCAUAAAGGCUGAUUUGAAACUUUUGGCCAAGUUCUCACAUUCAAAUGCAAGAAUUGGCCUACUAGCAAAAGGAUGAAGCAUAGUCAAUGCAAAUCUGAUUUCCUUCUGCAUUAUUAUUCUAUGGGAAAGAAGACUUUAGAGAUACCUUAGUAGAUAACAGGGUCUAAUUCUAAUCCUUGCCAGAAUUUGUGUUCCUUCCACUCAAUUGUCUUUUUACUUUACUAUUGUUAUGGAUUGAAUUAACCAACCAUAAUUCAUAUUUGAGGUCCUAAUCCCACCAUGAGUAUAUUUGAAGAUAGGCCUUUAAGGAAGUGAUUAGGUUCUAUGAGAUCAUAGGUCAUAGGGUAAACCCCAACCUGAUAGGACUAGCAUCCUUAUAAGGAAAAGAAGAGACACCAGAUCUCCCUGCCCCUGUCCCUUUCUCCCUCUCUUUGUCUGUCUGUGUCUCUCUUUCCCCCUCUCCAUCUCCCUCCAUCCACAUGCACCAAGGAAAGGGCAUGGGAAGUCAUAGCAAGAAGGCAGCCACCCGGAACUUGAGGAGGAAGGCCUCACCAGGAACUGGCCUGUUGAUACCUUGAUCUUGAAUUUUCAUUUUCAAAGAACUGUGGGAAAAUAAAUUUCUGUUGUGUAAACCACUCAGUUAGUGGUAUUCUGUUACGGCAGCCUGAGUAGACUGAGCACAGCCUGGGUGAUCAAUACUUUCUCUUUUAUGUGCCUUUGCCUACUCUAUCAUAUUCACAGAAGUUUUUGAAAUUACACAAUCGUAAAAGUUACACAAUCAGAAUAAGUCUGAGAAACUUAUUGACACGUACAUCUCAUUUAUCUAAGAAAGGCAAGAAAUGUGAAAAGAAUACCCAGAAUUCUUUGAAUUUUUAUUUUACCUAUAUUCUGAAAUCCAUGGGUGUUUAACAUAAACAUUAUGUUUUGUUCUUCUUUCUUAAUACUUUCUUUUUUAAAAAAAAAUAACUUUAUUAUUUAUUUAUUUAUUUAUUUUGUAAUGUGGUGCUAUGGAUCUAACCCAGUGCCCCAUAGGCAAGUGUUCUACCCCUGAGCCCCAGCCCCAGCCCCAUGUUUUAUUCUUAUAUAUGUACUUUACGUGAGUUUGCCGACCACAAUCAUAAUAUUUUUCCCUAUAGUGAUGUAGGUUAACCCUUAUGAACUAAAUCUUAGGAACCCUGGUGCUAUGGUUUGGAUCUUAAAUGUCCCCCAAAAGCCAUGUGUUCAAGGCAUGGUCUCCAGUUCUUCCUCAUGGCUCUGACACCUUUAUGGCUUGGAAGGUGGCAAAAACUUUAGGAGAUGGGGGCGUAGUUGGAGGAAUUAGGUCAUUGAUAUGUGCCCUUGAAGGGUCUAUUGGGACCUUGACCCCUUCUUCUCUCUCUGUUCAAUUCCCUGCCAUGCUAAGGUGGGCAGCUUUUGUUUCACCAUGUCAUGUGCCAUGAUAUUCAGCCUUACCCCAGGCCCAAAGUGAUGGGGCCAAAAACCAUGAACUGAAACUUCUGAAACCAUGAACCAAAAUAAAUCUUUCUUCCUUUCAAGUUGUCAGGUAUUUUGUCACAGUAAUGGAAUACUGACUAGCACACCUGGGAAUCAUUGUAAAGACUCAUGGCAAAAAACACGGGUAUAUUAUAAUCCUAUUGCAGGAGAAUGAUAAAUUGAAAACAGUCCAAUCUAUGAGAAAUAGCACUUGUGGUCCCUGGUUAUUACAAUAUAAUUUGUAAAAUGUAGUUUAUGAAAUUCCACACAAUAAAUUUAUGAGCGAAAAGUGAGAAUAAAUUUCAAUAUGCUGUACACAUUCUCUAAGGUAAGGAAACACAUGUUAUUAAUUAAAAGUUCUAUAUUUCUUGAGCAAAACACAUGUCUCUUCAUAAGAAUACCUACUAUACUUAUAUUGAAGUCUUUUUUUUUAAUGAGAGAAAAAGAAACAUUCCUGUUGUGAACUUGCCAUUUCAGAAAAUGUUAAAUUAUAUGAGGAGUUUCAGUGUUUAGGCAUGUAAGCCCGAUUUCAUUUAUGUAAUCAUGGACUCAUCUGUUAGAUGUGAAUCCAAGAAUGUAGACUUUGGAGGUAAAAAACUAAAGAGGCCAAUGAGGACUCCAGAACAAAUGACAGAGAAAAUGUGUUAUAGAACUCCAGGAAUGGGAAGGAAUCUCAUAUAAAUUCCUGUGAUAUAAAUCUUACCCCCAUCUAGCCAGAAUUGAGCACUUUGCUUUUGAUCUACCCAAACUUCCCUUCCAACCCAAAUCUUGUUUAACACUGGAUUAAGAAAAAAAAAAAAGAAUUUUUCUAGUUCACUAGAGUGAAAAUCCCAAUGUUUGAUUUAGUUUCAGAGGCAGCUUGACCAGGGUUCAUACAAUGUCACCAAACCUCAUUUUCCAUCACAGCCAUCUAUUUGGUAGCAUUCACCUCCAGGCCGACUCCAUUUCCAGACAGGCAGUUAGUUCCAUGUGGCUAGCACAUCUCCAGCUCUUUCAACAUCUCAUGUGCAAGUAAGAAAGAAUGAUACAGUCUUUUUAUUUUACAGAAUUCCCAGCAUCUUCAUAUAAUUACUAUAAUUAUUUUCUGAUACUAGAGAUGAAUCCCAGGUGCUCUUCCACUGAGCUAUACCCCCAGCCUUUUUAAAUUUUUAUUUUGAGACAGGGUCUUACAAAGUUGCCCAGGCUGGCUUCAAACUUUUGAUCCUUCUGCCCCAGCCUUCCCAGUAGCUUGGGUUGCAGAUGGAUACCACCAUACCUGUCUCCCUCAUUACAUUUUAUUUGCUCCAAGCAGACAAUAUGUUCAUUCUUGAACCAAUCAAUCACUAUGUCCCGGAAAAAAGAACUGUAAUAUUUGACCUAGUCUCAGGUCACAUACUCCAUUCUAGAAUUUGAAUGGAGUCCCACCUGGGGCAUGUUGAGAAUACAGGAAAAGAAGGUUUCCCGUGGGAAUUUGAGCUACAGUUAGCAAAAGACAGGAGUGUGGAUGCUAGAUGCCAAAACAAAAGAUAUUUAUAAAGUAAUAGCAUAUUAUAGUCUUGUUUAAGUGUUGCACUGGAGAUACUCUUCAGCUGUUUUGUAGUUGUGUUUUAUAGGAAACUAAUAAUAAGCCAUUCUGAGAAAUGUCCCUCACAUUCUUUAUACACUAUGACACUUCAGCUGUUCUACUUUGUAUAGUGUAAUGCUGAAUAAUUGCAAGAGCUACCAUUUAUGGAGCAUUUUCUAAUUUCAAACAACACCAAAAGCUCCUAUUUAAUAAUCCCCAUGUCAACUCUGCCAGGAAAGUAUUAGUAUCCAAACCUCCAACAUGAGAAAAUCAGGUUCACAGAGGUCAAAUAACUUUUCUACGAAUAUACAGAAAACCCAGUGAAACAUGUCAUCUGUAUUAAUUAGAUAAUAUCAGAAACAAAUUAGUCUAAUUUCCCAAUGGCUUAACACAACAAAGGUUUGUUUCUCACUCCUGGUUCACAUUCAAGUGAGCUUAUGAGGGACUUGGUUUCAUGGGGACCUGGGCUGUCUGAGGUUUUAACAUCCCAAGGCUACUCUUUGUGGACCAGGGGGCUUCCUUAAUCAUCAUGCCAGAUGAGAGAAAACCAAAGAAUGAUCCGUUGUUCUGUAUAUAUUUCGGCUCAGAGGUGGCCUGUUUCCCUUCCACUUACAGCCCAGUGACCAGACUAUCCCAUGUCCUCAUCUGUACCAGGGCCUCCCAAAGUGUAGGGGUGCUCUUGGAGGUCCAUUAAGUGGCAAAGUCACAUAGCUAAGGCAAUCCUGGGUUUUUCUGACUACAGAAUGGGGAUUCUGUCCAUUAGACCCAAAUUUUGACUAGCUACUUUUUAUUUCACUGUUCUGAAGUACCAGUUGUUAAAGAUUUCCCGAUUCUGUAGAAUACAAUAUAAUAGUAGAGAUAGGGUAGUGAUUGAGAGCACGACUCUUAGAGCCAGACUCCCUGAGUUUGUAUCCUCACUCUUUGUAUUUAUCGCCUGCCCUUGGGUGAGUCAUUCAACAUUUCUAUGUCUCCGUUUUGUUAUCUGUUUAAGGGAAUAAUAAUGAUAUUAAUAAUAGUGUCUAUAUCACAGGGCUAUCGGGAUUAAAUGAGUUCAAAGAAAUAAAGCACAGGACAGUGCUUAAUACCAUGAAUGUUCAAUAAAUCUUGUAACGAUUAUUGUAGAACCACUUAGCGUUUCACUGAGAAAACUGUUCUCCAGCUGCAAAAUGUAAUUUCAGCCAGAAUACUUGGAAACGUGUGUGUUGGUCACAAAGGCAACCACAUAAGAGGGAAUCACAGUGCAAACCUCAAGCUACUAUAGGAAAAACAUCUCAAAGGUCAUGUUCAGUGAAAGUAGUUUAGCAGUUUGGUCUUUACUGGUAAAAAUCAUCAACAAAAAAAUUGUGUGUAUGUGUAUGUGUGUGUACACGCACAGUGUGUGCAUGAACACAUCUGUAUGUGUUUGUGGGUGCGUUUUUGUGCAAGGUACAAUGUGUAAAGCGCCAAGUGUUUGACAAGCACACCAUGACAUUCAAUCCUUCCUUGUGGGUCAUGUACAUAUGCAAUAUAUAUGGAGACAUGGUCUUAUAUGAAUCAAGAAGUAAAACCAAGACUAAAAAUUUAGAUUUUAUUUAAUCUACUGUUAUUUCACAGGUACAUGUGUGUGAGCAUUUAUGCACGCAUGCACACACACACAUACACAAUAUGUUCAAUCUCUUCUUAAUAUUGAGGCUUGAAAACAUUCCAAGAAGCCGGAUUAUGUUGCACUCUUGUUCCUUCUCUUCCAAACACUCUCUGGGGGAAUUGUGGCUCUGGGCAGGAUUAAUGAGCACCAACACUUCUUCUCUCCCUCCCCUCCUCUAGGAGUUUGGGGCAAAAAACAAUCUGCCAGCACUUUGACCGAAAUGGAUAGCAUCUCCCAUCUGCCAGCAACCACUGGACACAUAUAGCCUGAUAACCUGGCUCCCUUUCAUUUUGACACCAAGAACCCCACCAAAUAUUUGUGAGAAUAAAAUCUUGUUUAGAUAUGCCAGCACACUCAAAAUAUCAACUAUAAAAUCAAAUGUAUUCCUGCUUGAAUUUCAAGUUUUUAUUGCUCUAAAUUGAAAGCACUCAUUAAAUCCAGGUGUCCACACUCUUCCUGUGCUACAUACAUAAGAAAACCCAUCAAACUCUGAGUGCACUUUAAAAUUUACUUUUGGAAAGUAAGUAGUUUGGAAAUAAGAAAAUCAAAUCUAUUUCUCUGUACUUUAUUUAACAAAAAUAACGAAGGGUUAAUAUUAACUUCUAGGAGCAUACUAAAGUCCUUUGUUUUGUUCUCUUUUAUUUCUCCUAUUUCCUUUAAAAAACAGGGUACUUAUGUUAUACUCUGCAUACAAUUAUUGUUUUGCAUCUCUGAUUUGCUAGUAGGAGACGUCUUAUUCUUCUUCAAAAGAAGGUUUUACAAUUUCAGAAAUAGUUAAGCAUCUUCAAGGCAGAGUAUGUAGGUAUAGAUUAUAUGGGAAGCAUUCACCAAAUAUUAUACACAUUAAGAUCUAUAGAGGAAUUCAUAAUUCCUAGGGUAAUUAGUAAGAAAUUGUCCUGAGAGUUCAAGAAUAUUAAGAAGCUUUUAACUUGAUAGAGCAGGAUUGAAAUAAGGUAUUUAUUUAAUUAAUAUUUAUGCCCCUCUCAACCAGAUAAAGUAUAUUUUCACCAAGUCUAUUGGUUCAUUUAUUAUUCUCAUUUUGUUUAGGGUCCAGGUUUUUUUUUGAGCAAUUUGUUUUCCAAACAGUAGUGUAUAAAAUGAACUCUGCUCUUUAACUUUCUGGACCUCUGUUUCUAUUUCCUUUGCCUAGUAUAGAUCACACCUGAUCUAUAUUUUUAAAAGUAGCUACAAAUGUACUUUGGAGUUACAAAUCCCUCUUGAGGUCAAAAAGGUACAACUUCUUUGGCACAUUUUACCUUGAGCUAAGAGGCUCUUGGGGAUAUUUGAGUGGAAGGAAGUGAUAAAUUCUGGAUGGACAAGCAUUGCACAACUAAAGUUUUAAAGAGGUGGGAUGGUAUAUGUGUAUCUGUUCAGAGUGUUAAGUAAAAUAUUAAAAACACCAGACUCCUUGUCUGUCCCUUGCAGGUGAUUCCUGUUCAACUUUCCUUAGAAAUUCUAAGUCAAAUAAGGAAAGACAGGGUAAGGGGAUAAAAAGGAGGUAUGGAGGGCAAAGAAAAAAUGAGGUACUGUGGGUAGAAGCUGUUGGAAAAAUAGAAACAGGAGAGAUUUCUAGGGAGAUUGAGGGGAAUGUUUUUUUAUGUGAGAAUUAUUUUCAAAUGGUCAUGGGACAACACUGUAACUAUCAAUAGCUGUGCAAAAUCAUAUGAUUGAUUAAAAUAAUAAGUUUGGGUUCCAAAGGAAACAAUUCUGCUCAAGUGUUGGCAGGAGCAGAUAGUUUGCACAAAGGGAAGGAAAGAAAACAAGGCAUCAGACCUGUAGAUGUGGUGUCAAAUUGUCCAUAGUUUUCUGUUUUGAUGAACAUUUCAUUACAAAUUUUUACAAAUUGCCACAAACUUAGCCUCUUACAACAACACACACUAUCUCACAGUCCCUGUGGGUUAGAAUUCCAGACACAGUGUUAACAGGAAUCUUUGGCUUAGGGUCUUAUGAGGCUGCAGUGGAGGUGGCAGAUGGGCUGCAGUUUCAUCUGGAGGCUCAACUGGAGAGAAUCAACUUCCCAAGCUCUCUCAGGCACUGCAGAAUUAUUUACCUUGAGGUUGUAAGAAUGAGGACUCUGGCUUCUUUUCUGGAGUUGGCUGAAGGCUACUGUAAUCUCUAAUGGCUAAUCUCAGCUCCUUACUCUGUGGGUCACUUCUUCAAAGUCAUCCAGGCGGAGAGACAGUGUGAGCAAGUCUGUUGACAGUAUGGAGAUUUACACAGUGCAAGAUAAUCACAGAAAUAACAUCCCACCACCUUUGCCCUGUUGUGUUGGUUAGAAGCAGGUCAAGGGGAGGGGUUGCAGAGGAAAGCGAAUACCAGGGGUUGGGGACCGUGGUUGGUUACUGUAGACUCUGUCCUCCAUGUUCUCAUGUCUCCUUCGUUUCCUCUAAUCUGUGACAAUUACUCAGUCUUUAUUGUCUUUCAUGACCUUGACAGUUUUGAAGAGUACUGAUUGAUUAUUUCCCUCCUCACAGACAUUACAUUAUGGAACUGUAAUGUUUCUCCUGCAUCUUUUUUUUUUGUCAUUGUUUUGAGAGAUAUUGGAGGAGAGACCACAUCAAGCUCAAGGGACUAUAAGGUAACAGGAUGACAUACAAAGAAAUAGCAGAGUACAUAUAAAGGGUUAUGAAAAGAAUAAUCACAUCUUUGAUAGAAAUCAGAAAAUUUGGGGAAAACUCAGGCUCAGAAAGUGUAGUGCAUAUUAUUUUCCCUCUGCAAAAUCUUCCAGCUCUCAGUCCAUGCAAUUCAGGUGGAAAGAAAAACAUUCCAGGUUUAGUGGUAGGUGCACGACCAUGGCCAGCGGUCAAGGAUUGACUCAUGACCCAGUAGGAGUCAUUGUGUUGUUUAAAUGAGGCUCUGUCAGGGCUACUGUCCCUGUAGGACUUUGACCUCAUAAAGGGUCACAAGAGGGGGCUGUGGAAUCUGCUAUGUGUAUUGAGAUUAAGUUUUGCUAUGAGACAGGAAACUCCAAAAUUACAAUAAUUUAUAUAAUAUAGAAAAAUAUCUUUUCCCCUGUCACACAUAAAUGAAGGCUGGUGGUAAGUGAUCCAGGGCUCCAUGAUGCUUCAAAGUCACCAAGGAGACCUUCUUCCUUUCUUGCUUGGCAUCUGUGAUACCUGGUUCUACCUGGUGAUCCAGGGUGGCCCCUUGAGCUUCUAGGCAGCAGGAAGUAGGAAGGGAUGAAGAAAGCCUUUCAAGGAUACUUUCUGGAAAUUGCAAAUUGCCCAUUACUUUUUAAGGGUUUAGCACAAAGAAACAAAGAAGAAACAGCUGUAGGAGGACCAUGAUUUUUCUGUGCUGUACAUCCACAAAAGGAGAGACUGACUGACAAGAAAGCCCAUCUUGAAUGAGCAGAAUUGAAAGAUAACAAAACAACAAUCACAAAAACCAAAAAAAACCCCAACUUUCCCUAAUGAUAUCUUUGAACCUCUGGAUCAAGCUAAGCUAAACUAUCUCUGCUCCUUAAGCUAAUUCAUUUCUUUCUUCCUUCCACCAUCACCUUUCUGAAAGGCACAGAAAGGAGGAUUCUCUCAGUAGAGAACAUAAAAUCAUCUUUGUUUCUUUGUUCUUUUAAGUUUACAUUUGCUCAGAAUAGCAACUGAGUCCUCCCUUCAAUCUCCUAAGAGUUAAGUCAUGGAGCAUCUUCAUACUCCAUUUCCUUUCAGUCAAAAGGAGAGGGAACUGCGUGUGUUUCUUAGAACAUGCCCUUUUAGAUUCGACAGAAAUUUAAACAGUGUGUUUUGUAAAAUCUCCACUAAGACUCAUAUGCCAGAAUUCUCAUCCUACCUAUUCUAGGUAUGUUUAUUGAUCUUCAGCAAAUGCUUCUUGGAAUUCUUGUGCUGUUCAGUAAAAACUCUUUUGUCAAAAUAGCUUGGCUCCAUAUCCACCUCCUCUUUCUCAAAUAUGACUUUUAUUAACAUUAACAGUAUCUGUGGGAAUUAGAGUCUAAUGGAUUUCUUUCUGUUGAUCUGAGAAUCCUGCCAUAAUAGGCUUCAUUUAAAAGGGUUCCAAAUAAUUGGUCAGCAGAAUAGCUUCUUCUUCUUCUUCUUUUUUUUAAGUAACUUUGCUAAUAGUAUCAAUUUGCCUAGGAUGUUACCUCCCCAUCUUUUUUUUUCCCUACUUUUUUUCCUUCGAAGCAAAAGACACAAAACAUUAGGUUUGGAGGUUUUCCCAUCAGAUUCUGAAAGCGUGGAUUUUAACUAAAUUAUUAUGCUUCUUUGUACUUACUCAUAUCCGUAAAGUGAUUACGAGUGUCUACCAAUGGCAACUCUCAUGCUAUGAAAGUUGGCCUUUUGAAUUUCAAUUAUACUGCAGCACCAUAUGGUAUAGGGGAAAGGAGUGCUCAAUUUCUUUUCUGACAGUUCCUCUCCAGCAAGGGGAAUUUUGCUGUCAUAGGCUGAGUUUCAUCGGCUCUCUGAGGCUCAACAUUACCUGCUGCCUCCCUGUACACCUACAUACAGGAUUUCAAGCCACUGAGAGAAAAGUUUCUGCAAGCCAUCACAGAUGGGGAGCACCCAUCUGAGUCAACUGUUGCCCAAGUUCCCGUGACUGGCUGCAGGCAGCUAUGAGUCCAAAGCUCCAGGAAUGGCAGAGCUCUGGAUGUCUUCCACGUCUGUGCUUUUGGAUUACAUUUGUUUAACCUGAGGCAGAGCCACAUUACAGAACAUUCCUAUCCCCCUGGGCAUCAUAAACAGUUGUUACCGGCUUAAUGCAAUUAAGCUUGGGAGCACCAUGGAGACUCCUAAAGCAUCCGAAACUCAAGGUCACAUCCUACAAAUGUCCAGGUAUGGCAGUGGGGAAUCUACUAAUUUAUGAUUAUGGGGACUCUUCCUUCUGAGUGUGUCACAAAUUAUCAGAACACAGGGAGUUACACAUCCUCUUUAGGAUUAUAAAUGGGGUCCUGACACUUCAGACUCUCUGUCAUUGUGGUGACUGAGUAUCCUGUCUCUUGCAGUCGACAUUGGGGGACACCUUACUGAGCAUGAGAUGGCAGACUUCUAUCUGCCUUCUUUUACACUGGCUUUAGUACAAAGGAGGAAGAGCAGGAAUGCUCAGGAGAUGAUGGUCUCUCACCCCUAAUUUACAGAAGAAUUAAGCAAGUUUUUCCUCAGGAUAUGGUACUGGAUAUAUCCUUUUGCCUUCUGGUGUUUAGAGAGAUUCACAUGUGUCUAAUCUCCUGGGCCCCAGGAAUUGAUGAAUUAAUCCAUUUUGCCCCAGCAUCCCAGAUACCAUAUUUGACUGAUGACCUAUUUAUAGGAUGGCUCAUAUAUAUGGAAAAGAGACAAUACUGUCUCAGUGUCCUAUUUGUAGGACACCUAUUUUUGUUCUUAAUGAUAAUAAAGGCUGGAUAAACUCUAGAUUACUAUUCCCAACCUAUUUUAAUGCACCUGUAUUAAUUUCAUUGAAAUAUUUGCAGAAUUGAAAACUUAAUGGGAUCAGAGCCAAACCAUAGGAAACUUCAGAGUUAGGGCAUAAUGUGUGAGGUCCAAACUUUCCUCUCUACAAUGAGAAGGGGGAGUGUUGGAGAUUCCUUGCCUGAUUUUAUGGAGCAGUGCCUGAGCAGAGGCAGUGCCUAAGUGUGCCUCUGAUGUCCUUGUCCAUUUGAUGAGGAUAUUUUCAGUUUCUGUUGGGUAGGAAUCCCUCAACCAGUCUCUGAUUGACUAGAUGUUCAUAUGGUGUGCCCAUGGUGAAGAGUCAGGAACUUCCCAUCUCACCAUGUUGCUGAUAUCACCCCUCCCCUUACCCCCCAGGUUACACUCUGCCAUGCCUUCAGCUCCAGGGGCUGACCUGCAUGGGUUACAUUCACGUGGUCCCUUCCCUCUGGCCUUUGGUUGGGCUUGUCCAAUGGUGAGUGCUGGAAGGUGAGCCUAGGAUAUCUAUUCCCUUGACACCUCAGUGCUGACACACUGGCCCAUCUCCUGCCAGGUGAUAUUCUCCUCACAGUCCUAUCUGAUUUAUGGUAACUUCUCUCAGACACUCUUGCCCUUUUUAGCAUCUGAACACCCUCUUGGUGUUACUAACCUUGAAUACUACAUAGUCCAUUGCAGUUUCCCUAAUCCUGCUCACGCUGGUACAACUCAUCCAUCUAUUAAUCUUGCCUUAGAUCUCUCAGUUUCAGUGAGCCUGUGUUUCUUGCCAGACCCUAAUGAAAAAAACCAUACAACUCCUCUUUGCCUAUUUUCUCUUCUGCCUCUCUCAUAUGCCCUGACUCUAAUGGUCUUAUCCUUACAGGUUUCUAGAAAAGACCACUGUAUUUGUAUUUAUGUAUUUUUUUGUGUGAGUGUUUUUGCCCUGUCCCAUUUUAAAAAGAAUGAGAUGAUUGUUUCUAUUCUCUGGAUUCACUCUGGUCCUGACUUGCCUCUGCUCAUUUAAUUUAUGUAUCUUUUUGUUUGUUUCCAUUUAUGUAUUAGGUCACUCCCACAACCUUUUAAGAAACUAGGAGAAAUCUUCAAACUGGCUAUUUCCUGUCAUGAAGCCAAUCACUAAAAAUAAGUUUCAUUCAAUUCAGUCAUGUUAAAUUGAAUUUUAUUAAAUCUGUUUGGCAUAAGCAGAAUCUCAGAAAUACCAUAUUCAACCUGCAAUACAUAGGCAAUUAUAUAAUAUACACUAAAGUAUAUAAUAUUUUAGUUAGCCACAGAUGUCGCUUUGAUUGUUUUGAGACAAUUGUCUUAUUACAUAAGAUGGAUAAUUUCUUUUCUUAGGUACCCAUUGCUCUAGAAGGAAAAAAAAAAUGAUGACAAGGAAAAAAAUACCAAUGUAUCACACUUGUGAUAAAAAAAUGAUCCAGACAUGGGUGCUAAUUUUUGGGCUAUAUAAAUCAGGAUGGGUUAUUCAAGACUGAAUUAGAGACUACAUAAUUUUUAGUAUAAGUGAAGUAUGUGGGAUCUUUAAAUAGUGGUAAAAAUGGUUUGAAUGAUAAGUAUUCUGAUGAUCGCUUUUGGCUAGGACUAUAUUUUAGCCAAAUGGUAAAGGAGAUGUAGUAGAAGCUGCGAAUGCCCUAUUGAUCCUUCUACCCACCCAUCGCCACCCAUCUUCAGGUGGCCUGCAGCUUCAGUAUUUGCAAAACCUCCCUCUGGUGUCUCUCUGCUGAAGACUUUCCCUGGCUGUGGGAUUGUGCUGGGCCUCUGUGAGGAGGAUGUUUAGCAGUGCCUGGAAUUUUACAUCCCAAUAGUAAAUGUCAAUCACUAUGGUCAGGAGUUGAAGGAGUAAUACCCACAUUUCCCGACCCUUCUGAGAUGUGUUCCCUAAAAUUGCUCAGCGGGUCCCCAGUAAGACGGAGUCCUGUUGCUAAUUCCCUCCCUGUUUCACCACCUUCUCUCACACUUGCUUCCUGUGAUCGGCUCCCAACUAAACCACUUCCAUCCAAAUUCUUGUCUCAGGGAUUGGCUUUUGGAAGAGCUCAUUUAGAAUAGGAAACUCUAGAAGGACAAAGAGAAGUGAGAAAUGCAGAAAGAGUACAUCAUGCCAUUUUAAGCUUCAAGAGGAGAGUAUCUUUUAUGUUCUUUUGAAUCAUCUUUGUCUUUAGAUUAUAAACUAUUGAGGACACUGGCUCUUUCUAAUCAACCCUAUAAAUCCCAACAAUCCAUGCAUGGUGUGAAGAAGGACUCCAUAAAUAUUUGAUAAUCCUGAUAAUUCUAAAUUAUACUAUUUAUAGUAGCCAUUACCCUACUGAAGAGUAUAAUUAUUACCGAAGAGCAAAAAUAAGCUCCUGCCUUUUCAUCCUUUAAAGGUAAGAGAUGUUGGCCCCUUUUUAAUCAUCUCUAAAAGCUAAAAAAAAUUAGAAUAGCUUACUGAAAUUAGCACUACAAGGCGAUGAUAAAUUUAUAUGGUUGUGUUAAACGCAAACUGAAUUUCUUCACAGGGUCUUGUGAAGGAAUCAUAACAAAUCCAGACAAUUCCAUCAGGCAAGAACCUAGUUUGGCCAAAUUUACAUCAGACAUAUAUAUUUACACAUGCAGUCUUACCAUUAUAUAUAACUGGCUAAAGACCCUUAUAGAUCUUACCAGAAAGAGCUCAAUCCAACAUAAAUAGCACAAAGUUCAAUGGAGAAAAUAAUAAUGACACAGGAAUUAUGUGCAUUAUUUCACUUUAAAAUUUUGGCCUUUAUUCUUUGAUUUAUCAUCCAUCCACUACUCAGUGAGAUGAAUAAUGUUUUCAUUUUUUUUUUUAGGAUUUUUCCCCCAUAAAUAACUCACUAGCAUUUAUCAUGUAGUAGAGUAGUGAAAACUCACACCCAGGAUAAUACCAGACAAUUUCUCCAUCUACUUAAUGUUAAUGAAAUUGAAUAGGCUUGCUCCAAAAUUCAUUGGGAAUCAUCAUUCACUGUCUUAGAAUUCAUUUAAUCAUAUUCAGUUGUCCAAAGAUCUUAUUAUAUAUCUCCUAGGAAUAAAAGUUAUGAUAUAAAAAGAAUCUUCAAGGCUGUGCACAGUAGGACAAAAUAUGUGACCAUCACUCCUGAAAUACAAGCAAGGAGACUUCAUUUUAAAGCAUGAAGCUAAAAAUCUAGCAUAUCUUAGCCAAACAAGGUAAAGUACUCUUUCAAAUUAUCACACAUUUUAUCCUUCAAAAUGUAUUCUUUAUUCAUUUUUUUUGAAAUUGCCAUCCCAACCACACUUAGCCAUCACUUGCAAAUAAGCUAAUGGUAGAGCAGCAAGAAAUGUAGAGACAACUACAAUUAUCUCUUAAUUACACACAGCAGGCUUCCAAUGUGUGUCCCCACUCCUUCUGAGGAUACUUAACUAGAAACAAAGAAAGUCAGGCAAACCAGUUAAGUGUCCCACACAGGUUUCUUGAUGACAGGUUUACUUUGAAAUGCUGUGGGGCAAGAUGGCAGCAGCAGCUGUCACCAGAAAUAGCUUGCCCAGUUCAAGAGAAGAAGCUGAUGAUUCUGCUCACAUUGAAGGACUUGAACUAGCAAAUGAAACAAGGAGGAUGAUACAAUGCACAAAUUAAUGGUUUACGAGGAGCUCUGCCUCCUCUGUGUAUGAAAUAAAGAAAUCUCAGGUAACUCGCCCCACGUUGUGUAGCCCAGAGCGUUUUUAUGUCUUCUUUGAGAAAGAAUCAAUAUCUUCUUGUUAUUGUGCGAUCAUAUAUUUAGUAGGGGAAAUGGUCUAAGACCAGAAAUAUGUCAAACAACUCCAUUUCAUCUUCAGAGAGAUGAAUUUAAUUGGAAAAAGUCUAUUAAUUAAUUAGCCAAUAAAAGUUUAUUACAUGAGUAUUAGUCGCCAGCACCGUCCAAAGUGAGGUUAAUAAAAUCUUUGCAUGUACUCUGUGCUUUUCACACAUUCUGUGACAAGGCUGCUGGGGGGAAGGAGCACCCAGACACGUGUGGAUGGUGUGAAUGUGAAAAUGGAGUCAAUGACUGGGGGUGAGAAUACUUAUUCUCUGUGUAUAAAUCACUUGCCAGACAACAAAGGACAUUCUCAAGCUUCCUUUUCUUUGAUUUAUACCACAACCCUGUGCAAUGGCCAGGGGAAAAUAUUAACUCCUAUCUACAAAUGAGAAGGUGUCUCCGAUUUUGGCCUAGAAAUUUUCAAGAGCUCUAGGAGUUUGUGUACCCAGUGCUCACCUGUUAUUACACUCACCACAAGAGGAGGUUUCUGGAUCCACACCUAAAAAUAGCUGCCACACCCUCAUAUACAGCUCCAUUUGAGAAAUUCCGUUGGAUCUCAUGUGAAUUUUUCAAUGCUGUUCUUUUCACAAAUAGGUGAAAACAUGUUUGCAUAUCUUUAAUUCCACCUGUCAUUUUGCUCCUCUUUCUUCAUUCUUUCUCUCUUCUGUGGGAUCAGCAACCUCAACCUUGACUUUAUAGUAGGGUCACCUGCUGGAUUUAUUAGCAAUUUGGUUCUCUGAGCUCCACUGCAGAUCUAUUGAAUCAGAGAAUCUCAGUUCAGUCUGCUAUCAGUUGUUCUUUCUCUCUCCCUCUCAUUCCCCUUCUCCUCUGUCUCUCUCCCUUCAUUCCUUUCCUCCCUCCCUCUUUCUUUCUUCCAUCCCUCCCUCCCUUCCAUUCUCUCUCUCUUUCUCCCUUUCUCCCUCUCUCCUUUUCUCUCUUUCUCCUCCUCUCCUUCUUUCUUUUUCUUUCUUUCUUUCUUUCUUGUCCCUGGACUAGACUUUGACCUCCUCAAGGUCAUUUUUCAUUUUUGUGUGGGACAUUUAACUGGUUUGCCUGACUUUCUUUGUUUCUUGUUAAGUAUCAACCUGACACAGUGAAGUAGCAUUCAAUCAAUAAAAACUUAAUUGUUGAUGUGGGCUGGGGUUGUGGAUCAGCGGUAGAACUGCUCACCUUAGCAUGUGUGAGACCCUGGGUUCAAUCCUCAGCACCACAUAAAAAUAAAUAAAUAAAAUAAAGAUAUUGUGUCCAAAUAAAUGAUAAAUUUAAAAAAAAACCUUAAUUGAUGAAUUCAAGUUAAGAGGAGAUAGUUGUUCACUUGAUUAUUUUUGCAACUCUUGUGUGAGUUUGGCAUUUUUCAAUACAAAAUUUAGAAAAAAGAUAUGAUUGAUUAAGUAAUCAUUAGCAAAUCUGGAAAUAGUUAAAAAACAGUGAAUUGUGCUUUACAAAGGAAUAAACAUGCAUACAUAAAAAAAUAAUAUUAGUUAAAUAAAUGAAUGAAUGAUCUGAUCUCCAACCUUCUAUUUGGGAGAAGAUAUUAGAAGUGAGAAUUAUUAGAGAAUUCAUUUCAAUCAGAAAGCAGUGAAGGGUAGCAAGAAGAUCUUAGAGACGUGGAAGAGGUGGAAGUUAAAAAGAACCUCCUCUUAGUUGCACUGUUGGAACAUACAGACCAAUUAUUUUACCAAAAGUUCCCCAUUCUAUAUUAUCUUCUAAAUAGAAACCCGUUUUGGCUUCCAUUUUCAACCAGUGCCCCCGACCUGUGUCUGUACAAAUGAACUGGAAAUAAUAAUGUGGAUUAUUAAGAACAGUAAUUUGAAGAGGAGAGGCCAAGAAAGAUGGUUACUGGUCCUUUCUGAGAAAUGUCAGAGUGCCUUUCAAGCACAUAAUCCCUUUCUGCAGAGUUCACACAAGACAUGAUUGUCGCCACAGUAUCCCACCUUUCCAGGCCGUGCCUGCUUGGAGUAGUGAUGGGUAUCAGGUUCAAAGAUAGUCAAAGUCAAGCAGUCCCUGAGACGGUCAGGAUCUAUCCUGGUUCAUGGCUGGCUUCUCUCAGGAGGUUGGAAUAUGAGACCUACAUGGACAUACGGCGAGAGGAGGACAAUGUAAAAGCAGAGGGGUUAUAAAGAGAUGCAUGAAAAUGUGAUGGGAAGAUGAAGUGUCGGUUGACAGUGACCAAAAAAGUAGAAGCAAAAGCAGAAAAUUAUUUGUCAAGCUUCUUGGUUUCAAGGGAAAAAAAUCCAUUAGGAACAUGGUUAGGCAGAAUGAGUAGCAAGAAUAGAACCCACCCCAAAAUUUCUGUUUAUUUUGUUUCUCUAUUUUCCUCUGUUUGCUUUGUUCUUUCCUUGUGUCAACAGGCAUUGUCCAUGUGGAGAGAGGGGUUCAUGGCCCUCCGAAGCCCUAACACUAAAAAUCAGCAGCAGCAGCAGCAGCCUGGAGAAAAGCUGUUUAGGACACAUAACCUUCACUAGACUAAUCAGUGUGGCCAGAGGACUGUGUUCUGUGCUAGUCAGUCUUCAGUAAAAAUUACAUAAUUUUCAAAGAAGAUUAAGAACAGUCUCGAAGAGAAAGAAGGUUCAUUUUCCUGAGGAAUAGAGAGAAGCUUCGGGUAGAACAAACCAUUGAUAUUCACUUGACUCACCAUUCUGGCAGAAGGUUGAAGAAGGAAUCAGUGGAUAACUACUUCUGAGCACAUAAGCUCUUAAGAUUUGCAUCAUCAGAACAGGUUCUGAUGUUCUGUGUACGUAUUAGCUAAUUAUUAUUAUUAUUAUUGUUAUUAUUAUUAUUUUGUAUGGAGAAUUGAACCCAGGGUUGCUUAGCCACUGAGCCACAUCCCCAACCCAAUUUUAUUUUCUGAGACAGGGUCUCACUAAGUUGCUGAGGGCCUCAUCAACUCAGCUUUGAAUUUGAAUUUGAGAUCCUUCUGCCUCAGCCUCUUGAGUUUCUGUCAUUAUAGGUGUGCACAACAGCACUCAGCUUAACUAGUUAUUAAAAAGCUACAUAAAAAUCUGAAGUCUCAGUGACUUACAACAAAAAUUUAUUUCUCUUUCAUAGAUGGGGGUCAGCAAGGAUAACUCUGUCUUGGGUUAUGGGUUCUGAGAAACCAGCCUCUCUACCGCAGAGCAAAGCCUGUCCAAAGAAGGGAACAUGACUCUUGUCCUUGGAAAGACCCACAGAGCACUCCUAGGACAUACCCACUCUGCUGAGUUGUUUAUCUACAAAUAACAGGAGAGAUCUGCGGAGCCAGGUGUCCCUGACUCAGUCAGGCUAGAUGAGGACCCAUAGCAACCCCCUAGCAACCACCAAUCAUCAUGAGACAAAGUAAAUACCUGAGAUGCCAGAUGACCCUCUCAGUAGUUUAUGGUGUUGAUAACAAGUUGGGAAACCAUGUAGUUCAGCACGUACACCGCUCGUGGCUUAAACCAAUCAGUUCAAACAAAUCCCCCUCUUGUAGUAACCAAUCACCUCUAUCCAACUUGUUCCCGCCAGUGAAUGUGCUAAUCAUGUUUUAGAGUUAUUUUGUGAUUUUUCCCGCGGUGUGUGAUGAUUUGCUAAGAGAUGCUAUGAUGUAUGUGAAGUCCCUGCCUUCCCCAAAGAGUGUAUAAAACUGCUGCAAACCCUGGGCUUGGGGCCUCUCAGCAUCACCAGUUGCUGUGUGCGUGCAGAGGACCGAGCUAGCUCAUAAUAAAC